CAACCCCGUGCAGGCGCUCGACGGGGAGGUGGUGAACGCGGAUAAGAUCCAGCUGUACGCCGGCCUCGACGUCACCACCAACAAGAUACCCCUCGCGGAGAGGCGGGGGACGGGCAGCUACGCCGCAACGGGAGGCACAGAGGCGAGGGGCAGUCGACAGCAGCCGACGGAGUCGUGCUCAGAUUGAGAAUUGGCUUAGACUAGAUGGAGAGUUAGAAUGCGCUGGGAUUUAUGGGCUGGGCCAACGACGAAGCCAACAAGCCACUCGCUAGCAAGAGCUGGACAGCCAGCUUAGGCUCAGGUUGUUUGACCGCUGAGCUGGACCGUCGUUUGGUCACCACCUGAGCCUCGAGCUUUGUUUUUAACUUUAGUCUCAUCGAGUCUGAGCUAACUAGUGAGCCUUGAUUUUUGUUUUCAACGCUAGUCUCAUUGGGCCUGAGCUGACUCGUGAGUCUCAAGUUUUGUUUUCAGCUCUAAUCUCACACAGGCCUCUCCUUCCGAUGACGGCCGAAGCGCUAAUGCCAUGGUGUUCUGCCACAUGCAUCCUCAAUGGAGUAAGGUGCCGAUUGGGAGGAGCUGUCAGCUUGAGUUAUCAUUUUGAAAGAGUUGCCGAGUGUAGAUGGUGAGUUGAUAGGUCCGUUGCUAUGCGUAUGUUGUUUUCCAUAGUGUCUACAUGCUUGCAGAAGGUGCGCAUUCAAUGAGGGGAUGAGGGGUACGACGAGGAGUCGGAGAUGCACCUUGUAAAUAGAUGCGCCCUAGCGAUUUGGAAGGGGAGUAGCAUUUUAGUGCCAUAUAUAUAAUCUAAAUUUCCAGACAGGAAGAGUUUUCUUUUCUAAAAAGAAAAUAUCUGAUUUGGAGCUUACUUGUUGCACAUACUGUUCGAGAGCAUCGAGACUGACUAUCAAAUGUUGGUUCGAAUAAAUUUCUUCCAGUUGAA